rnacentral:rRNA from 1 species
AACGAACGCUGGCGGCAUGCCUAACACAUGCAAGUCGAACGAGACCUUCGGGUCUAGUGGCGCACGGGUGCGUAACGCGUGGGAACCUGCCCUUAGGUUCGGAAUAACUCCCCGAAAGGGGUGCUAAUACCGGAUAAUGUCUUCGGACCAAAGAUUUAUCGCCUUUGGAUGGGCCCGCGUUGGAUUAGCUAGUUGGUAGUGUAAAAGCCUACCAAGGCGACGAUCCAUAGCUGGUCUGAGAGGAUGAUCAGCCACACUGGGACUGAGACACGGCCCAGACUCCUACGGGAGGCAGCAGUGGGGAAUAUUGGACGAUGGGCGAAGGCCUGAUACAGCAAUGCCGGGUAAGUGAUGAAGGCCUUAGGGUUGUAAAGCUGUUUUACCCGGGAUGAUAAUGACAGUACCGGGAGAAUAAGCUCCGGCUAACUCCGUG